AGUCGRACGAWGAUGCCCASCUUGCUGGGUGGAUUAGUGGCGAACGGGUGASUAWCACGUGAGUAACCUGCCCCUGACUCUGGGAUAAGCGUUGGAAACGACGUCUAAUACUGGAUAUGAUCACUGGCCGCAUGGUCUGGUGGUGGAAAGAUUUUUUGGUUGGGGAUGGACUCGCGGCCUAUCAGCUUGUUGGUGAGGUAAUGGCUCACCAAGGCGACGACGGGUAGCCGGCCUGAGAGGGUGACCGGCCACACUGGGACUGAGACACGGCCCAGACUCCUACGGGAGGCAGCAGUGGGGAAUAUUGCACAAUGGGCGAAAGCCUGAUGCAGCAACGCCGCGUGAGGGAUGACGGCCUUCGGGUUGUAAACCUCUUUUAGUAGGGAAGAAGCGAAAGUGACGGUACCUGCARAAAAAGCACCGGCUAACUACGUGCCAGCRSGCGSGGUAAUACGUAGGGUGCAAGCGUUGUCCGGAAUUAUUGGGCGUAAAGAGCUCGUAGGCGGUUUGUCGCGUCUGCUGUGAAAUCCCGAGGCUCAACCUCCGGCUUGCAGUGGGUACGGGCAGACUAGAGUGCGGUAGGGGAGAUUGGAAUUCUGGUGUAGCGGUGGAAUGCGCAGAUAUCAGGAGGAACACGAUGGCGAAGGCAGAUCUCUGGGCCGUAACUGACGCUGAGGAGCGAAAGCAUGGGGAGCGAACAGGAUUAGAUACCCUGGUAGUCCAUGCCGUAAACGUUGGGCGCUAGAUGUAGGGACCUUUCCACGGUUUCUGUGUCGUAGCUAAACGCAUUAAGCGCCCCGCCUGGGGAGUACGGCCGCAAGGCUAAAACUCAAAGGAAUUGACGGGGGCCCGCACAAGCGGCGGAGCAUGCGGAUUAAUUCGAUGCAACGCGAAGAACCUUACCAAGGCUUGACAUACACCGGAAACGGCCAGAGAUGGUCGCCCCCUUGUGGUCGGUGUACAGGUGGUGCAUGGUUGUCGUCAGCUCGUGUCGUGAGAUGUUGGGUUAAGUCCCGCAACGAGCGCAACCCUCGUUCUAUGUUGCCAGCGGGUUAUGCCGGGGACUCAUAGGAGACUGCCGGGGUCAACUCGGAGGAAGGUGGGGAUGACGUCAAAUCAUCAUGCCCCUUAUGUCUUGGGCUUCACGCAUGCUACAAUGGCCGGUACAAAGGGCUGCGAUACCGUAAGGUGGAGCGAAUCCCAAAAAGCCGGUCUCAGUUCGGAUUGAGGUCUGCAACUCGACCUCAUGAAGUCGGAGUCGCUAGUAAUCGCAGAUCAGCAACGCUGCGGUGAAUACGUUCCCGGGCCUUGUACACACCGCCCGUCAAGUCAUGAAAGUCGGUAACACCCGAAGCCGGUGGCCUAACCCUUGUGGAAGGAGCCGUCGAAGGUGGGAUCGGUGAUUAGGACUAAGUCGAACAAG
rnacentral:rRNA from 1 species